CAGUAGCCGCGGUAAUACAGAGGGUGCAAGCGUUAAUCGGAAUUACUGGGCGUAAAGCGCGCGUAGGUGGUUCGUUAAGUUGGAUGUGAAAUCCCCGGGCUCAACCUGGGAACUGCAUUCAAAACUGACGAGCUAGAGUAUGGUAGAGGGUGGUGGAAUUUCCUGUGUAGCGGUGAGAUGCGUAGAUAUAGGAAGGAACACCAGUGGCGAAGGCGACCACCUGGACUGAUACUGACACUGAGGUGCGAAAGCGUGGGGAGCAAACAGGAUUAGAUACCCGUGUAGUCCCUGUCUCUUAUAC
rnacentral:rRNA from 1 species